CCUACGGGUGGCAGCAGUGGGGAAUAUUGGACAAUGGGCGAAAGCCUGAUCCAGCCAUGCCGCGUGUGUGAAGAAGGCCUUCGGGUUGUAAAGCACUUUCAGUGGGGAAGAAAGCCUUGGGGCUAAUACCCUCGAGGAAGGACAUCACCCACAGAAGAAGCACCGGCUAACUCCGUGCCAGCAGCCGCGGUAAUACGGAGGGUGCGAGCGUUAAUCGGAAUUACUGGGCGUAAAGCGCGCGUAGGCGGUCUGAUAAGCCGGUUGUGAAAGCCCCGGGCUCAACCUGGGAACGGCAUCCGGAACUGUCAGGCUAGAGGGCAGGAGAGGAAGGUAGAAUUCCCGGUGUAGCGGUGCAAUGCGUAGAGAUCGGGAGGAAUACCAGUGGCGAAGGCGGCCUUCUGGACUGACACUGACGCUGAGGUGCGAAUGCGUGGGUAGCACACAGGAUUAACAACCCCAGUAGUC
rnacentral:rRNA from 1 species